rnacentral:misc_RNA from 1 species
UCCGGCUUGUCGCCGGCGGUCCCUCUAGAGUGCCCAACUGAAUGAUGGCAACUAAAGGCGAGGGUUGCGCUCGUUGCGGGACUUAACCCAACAUCUCACGACACGAGCUGACGACAGCCAUGCAGCACCUGUCUCCGCGCCCCUUGCGGGGACGGUCCAUCUCUGGACUUAGCGCGGGAUGUCAAACCCUGGUAAGGUUCUGCGCGUUGCGUCGAAUUAAACCACAUGCUCCACCGCUUGUGCGGGCCCCCGUCAAUUCCUUUGAGUUUCAGUCUUGCGACCGUACUCCCCAGGCGGAGUGCUUAAUGUGUUGACUUCGGCACGGACGGGGUUGAUAUCCGCCCACACCUAGCACCCAACGUUUACGGCUAGGACUAC